GCGGUAAAUGCAGGCGAAACUACAGUGUUCCCGGUUCGAAGCCGGGUUGUUGAGAAAUCAACAAUAGCUCAAUAGGUAGAGCGAGUGUUUCGUCAACGACUUGUUACCGCAGC
rnacentral:Y_RNA from 1 species